rnacentral:rRNA from 1 species
GACGAACGCUGGCGGCGCGCCUAACACAUGCAAGUCGAGCGGGGUUGAAGCGAGGGGUAACUCGAGUUUCUACCUAGCGGCGGACGGGUGAGUAACGCGUGGGCAACCUGCCUCAAGGACUGGGAUAACAGCUCGAAAGGGCUGCUAAUACCGGAUAAGCCUAUGGCCUCGCAUGGGGCCAUGAGCAAAGGGGAAACCCGCCUUGAGAUGGGCCCGCGUCCCAUCAGCUAGUUGGUGAGGUGAAGGCUCACCAAGGCGACGACGGGUAGCCGGCCUGAGAGGGUGACCGGCCACACUGGGACUGAGACACGGCCCAGACUCCUACGGGGGGCAGCAGUGGGGAAUCUUGCACAAUGGGCGAAAGCCUGAUGCAGCGACGCCGCGUGAGCGAAGAAGGCCUUCGGGUGUAAAGCUCUGUCUGGAGGGACGAAGGAAGUGACGGUACCUCCGGAGGAAGCCACGGCUAACUACGUGCCAGCAGCCGACGGUAAAUCACGUGUA